CAGCCAAGUCGUGAGGCGGAGCUAAUCCCUCAAAGCCAUUCUCAGUUCGGAUUGUAGGCUGAAACUCGCCUACAUGAAGCUGGAGUUACUAGUAAUCGCAGAUCAGAAUGCUGCGGUGAAUGCGUUCCCGGGUCUUGUACACACCGCCCGUCACACCACGGAAGUUGGGGGCGCCCGAAGCCACUUAGCUAACCCUUUUGGGAAGCGAGUGUCGAAGGUGAAAUCAAUAACUGGGGUGAAGUCGUAACAAGGUACC
rnacentral:rRNA from 1 species